AGCAGAACCAUCAAGCAAAUGGACCUCUAUGGAAAUAAAUCCAUCUACAAAUAUCAACAACUUAUCAGAAUUUCAUGGUUGGUUUUGGUCGUUCAUCAUUCGUCCCGUUUGUUUGGCAUUGAUGAUAAUAACUGUUCUGGUGAUCAGUGGAUGGAAGAAAACAAAAGGAAAUAAAUCAACAGAGGAAGAAUAAAGUCAAGUCUCCAAAACUUUGACAUACAGCUCUGUGAAUAAAGCUUCUGCUCAGACUACCAUUGAUCCAGACAGCCUCUACUGAAGCAUCAACUCUGAAUCAUUUGUGAACUUGUCAGCCAGAGAGACGGAGAGGAACAAUGAUCACUGCUAGAAAGAGACAAACAUCUUUAUUUCUGAUACUGAUGUUUCACCUAACAGCAGCAGCAGCUGGACAAGGUCUGUACUUGACAGUCAGAGUUGGUGAUGAAGUCACUUUGUCUUGUGGAAAUGUGA